CCCUUAGAUGUUCUGGGCUGCACGCGCGCUACACUGAUACUUUCAGCGAGUCCACCACCUUGCCUGAGAGGGUGGGGUAACCUCUGGAAAGUGUAUCGUGAUGGGGAUCGAUUAUUGUAAUUAUUAAUCUUCAACGAGGAAUUCCUAGUAAGCAUGUGUCAUCAGCCCGUGCUGAUUACGUCCCUGCCCUUUGUACACACCGCCCGUCGCUCCUACCGAUUGAGUGGUCCGGUGAGGCUUUGGGAUCUGAGCGGAAAGAGCGUUUCGCUGUUUCUGCUCGGAAAACUCAGUCGAACCUUAUCAUUUAGAGGAAGGAGAAGUCGUAACA
rnacentral:rRNA from 1 species